AACCUGCCCUUCAGAGGGGGACAACAGUUGGAAACGACUGCUAAUACCGCAUACGAUCUAACCUCGGCAUCGAGGAUGGAUGAAAGGUGGCCUCUAUUUAUAAGCUAUCACUGAAGGAGGGGAUUGCGUCUGAUUAGCUAGUUGGAGGGGUAACGGCCCACCAAGGCGAUGAUCAGUAGCCGGUCUGAGAGGAUGAACGGCCACAUUGGGACUGAGACACGGCCCAGACUCCUACGGGAGGCAGCAUG
rnacentral:rRNA from 1 species